GACGAACGCUGGCGGCGUGCUUAACACAUGCAAGUCGAACGGAAACGCCCUGCUAUUUUGCUGUUCUCGAGUGGCUAACGCGUGAGUAACACGUGAGUAACCUGCCCUUCACUUUGGUAUAACUUCAGGUAACUGGGCCUAAGACCGGAUAGCAGCUCCUCCUGCAUGGUGGGGGUUGGAACGUUUCGGCGGUUGGGGCUGGACGCGCCGCUGAACAGCUUGUUGGUUGGGUAGUUGCUGACCGAGGGUUUGACCGGUCGCCGGCCGGAGAGGGGGGACGGCGACAUUGGGCCUGAGAUACGGCGCAGUCUGGUACGGGAGGCAGCAGUGGGGAAUAUGACACAAUGGGCGGAAGCCUGAUACGGCAACGCCGCGUUCGGGAAGACGGCUUUCGGGGUGUAAACCGCUUUAGCUUGUGACGAAGCGUGACUGACGGUAAUGGGUAAAGAAGCACCGGCUAACUACGUG
rnacentral:rRNA from 1 species